rnacentral:lncRNA from 1 species
AGACAAAAGCAGUGAAAGUGAAAUAUAAAAAAAUAAAGAAUCCUAAUUGUGUUGUUUUUAUAGUUAAAAAGUGGAAUAUGAAAACUAAAAAACUUAUUUACUUUUUAAAUUUUGAGUUAUUUUUUUUUAUAAAAUAAUUAUGGAAUUUUCUAAAUUGGACCGUGUCCUUUAUUUGAAACAAGGUAUCCUAUCUAUGUCCUGAAUAAUUAAAUGUUUU